rnacentral:tRNA from 1 species
CGGUGAUUAGCGCAGUCUGGUAGCGCACUUCGUUCGGGACGAAGGGGUCACAGGUUCAAGUCCUGUAUCACCGA